rnacentral:rRNA from 1 species
GACGAACGCUGGCGGCGUGCCUAAUACAUGCAAGUAGAACGCAGUUGCGAACGGGUGAGUCACGCGUAGGUAACUGCCUCAUAGAGGGGGAUAACUAUUGGAAACGAUAGCUCAUACCGCAUACUGUGAGAUGGACCUGCGUUGUAUUAGCUAGUUGGUGAGGGAAAGGCGCACCAAGGCGAUGAUACAUAGCCGACCGGAGAGGGUGAGCGGCCAAAAUGGGACUGUGACACUGCUCCGACUCCUACGGGAGGCAGCAGUAGGGAAUCUUCGGCAAGUGACGGAAGGCUGACCGAGCAACGCCGCGGGAGUGAAGAAGGUUGUCGGAUCGUGAAGCUCUGUUGUUAGAGAAGCGGGAACUAACCAGAAAGGGACGGCUAACUACGUGCCAGCCGCCGCGGUAAUUC